rnacentral:RNase_P_RNA from 1 species
GGAGUUGGCCAGGCAGUCGCUGUGCCGGCGGACCUUGCCGUCGAUGGCAAAGGUUCGGUGUCGGUGUAGAGGAAAGUCCGGGCUCCACAGGGCAGGGUGCCAGGUAACGCCUGGGGGAUGAAAGCAGUCGGUUGGCUGCCCAAGUUCACGGAAAGUGCCACAGAAAACAUACCGCUCGUUUUCCCUUCACGGGGAAGGCGGGUAAGGGUGAAAAGGUGCGGUAAGAGCGCACCGCGCCCCAGGUAACUGGGGUGGCAGGGUAAACCCCACCUGGAGCAAGACCAAAUAAGGGGCAGGUUGUGUCCUUGCGCAUAACCAGGCGUGGUCCGCGCCGGCCCCGGGUAGGUCGCUGGAGGCGUAUGGCGACAUACGUCCAAGAUGAAUGACUGCCCAAGACAGAACCCGGCUUACAGGCCGGCUCCCACA